AACGAACGCUGGCGGCAUGCCUAACACAUGCAAGUCGAACGAGAUCUUCGAGUCUAGUGGCGCACGGGUGCGUAACGCGUGGGAAUCUGCCCCUUGCUUCGGAAUAACAGUUGGAAACGACUGCUAAUACCGGAUGAUGACGAAAGUCCAAAGAUUUAUCGCCAGAGGAUGAGCCCGCGUAGGAUUAGCUAGUUGGUGUGGUAAAGGCGCACCAAGGCGACGAUCCUUAGCUGGUCUGAGAGGAUGAUCAGCCACACUGGGACUGAGACACGGCCCAGACUCCUACGGGAGGCAGCAGUGGGGAAUAUUGGACAAUGGGCGAAAGCCUGAUCCAGCAAUGCCGCGUGAGUGAUGAAGGCCUUAGGGUUGUAAAGCUCUUUUACCCGGGAUGAUAAUGACAGUACCGGGAGAAUAAGCUCCGGCUAACUCCGUGCCAGCAGCCGCGGUAA
rnacentral:rRNA from 1 species